GGGCUCAUAGCUCAACUGGUAGAGCGCCGCCUUUGCUUGGGCGGAGGCCGGGGGUUCGAAUCCUCCUGAGUCCA
rnacentral:tRNA from 1 species